rnacentral:miRNA from 1 species
AACCUCAUCAACCUGAAGGAAAUCCUUCUGGUUGAUGAGGUAUAACAACCUCAUCGACCAGAAGGGAUUCCUUCUGGUUGAUGAGGUA